rnacentral:miRNA from 1 species
AGUGUAGCAGGUAAACCAGGA